rnacentral:misc_RNA from 1 species
AUCACAGAUUUUAAAAAGUUCUUUCCACCUCACCCACCUAUACCCCCUUCGCCACCCCCAUUGAAUAACGGAGUGUACUUCCCACCCGGAGAUUCCGAAUAUACAAACAAAGAGAAAACAAAACGGGAAGACUCUUUGGAACAGUUUAAACCUCAAUCGGAGGAGAAGGCGGAACAAGAGUCCAGCCUGAGUAACUCGGUUCCGCUAAGUAUCACUGUGGCUAUAGGGUGUUCCUUGUUAUUCAUCAACAUUUUACUGUUUUCUGCCGUGUAUUAUCAGAGACGAAGAAUUCAGAGAUUGAAUCGGGAAGCCAUAGAGCAAGAACAUAACGAUCAAAACGACUUUCCCGACAUAGGACACAAUUCACAGAGAGAAAACACAGCCAUUAAAGAGCCUCCGGACCGUGAUUUGCAUCUCGAUCCUCAUAGUAAACCUAAUAUUCAGAGUAACCCUUUAUAUACUGUGAUAAGUAAAUCACCCUGUGACUUAGCCCAGGAGUCGUCGCACGAGUCCCUGUCGACGCUUUCCUGCGCGUCAUCGGGCGUCCACCAGAAAAAUGCUGUCAAUCAUAAAGGUGUAGCCCCGCCCACUAUACCAAGAGACGCUCCAGUGAUUCAGAGAGACCAUAUUCCAAACUCUAAAUAUGCAGCGAAUAGUAGUAGUAAUUUAUCAAAAGAAAAAAUGAACAAUGUUCGAAAUUCGACGCCCACACAUGACACGAUAACUGUUGUCUAACAUUGUUCAGCUUUAAUGGUCUUAUGAAAGUAAUUGUUAUUUAUAUGAUGAUUGAGUGAAGUUAUUUUGAAAUAUCGUGAAAACACGCUCAUCGUCUUGCAGUUUCAUUUUUUGCAUUCCCAGGGGGAAUAUGUGAAAAAUGACAAAUAUUGAAGAAUGUUACAACCCUACAGUGUGGGAAGAAGAGUGGAGAAUUAUUAUACAUUAUUUUCAGAAAUUGUAAAUCAUCAAUCAUUUUCGCUUGUUGUUGUUCAGUCAUUGAUUUAUUUAUUUUGUACACAUAGUUAAUAAAGUAAUUUUGUUUUAAUUGUC